rnacentral:rRNA from 1 species
CAGCCGCCGCGGGAAUACGGAGGGGGCUAGCGUUGUUCGGAAUUACUGGGCGUAAAGCGCACGUAGGCGGCUUGGUAAGUUAGAGGUGAAAGCCCGGAGCUCAACUCCGGAAUUGCCUUUAAGACUGCCGAGCUAGCAGGUGAGAGAGGUAAGUGGAAUUCCGAGUGUAGAGGUGAAAUUCGUAGAUAUUCGGAAGAACACCAGUGGCGAAGGCGGCUUACUGGCUCAUACUGGACGCUGAGGUGCGAAAGCGUGGGGAGCAAACAGGAUUAGAUACCCGUGUAGUCCCUGUCUCUUAUAC